rnacentral:rRNA from 1 species
CGAGUGGCGGACGGGUGAGUAAUGUCUAGGGAAACCGCCUGGUGGAGGGGGAUAACUACUGGAAACGGUAGCUAAUACCGCAUAACGUCGCAAGACCAAAGAGGGGGACCUUCGGGCCUCUUGCCAUCGGAUGUGCCCAGAUGGGAUUAGCUAGUAGGUGGGGUAACGGCUCACCUAGGCGACGAUCCCUAGCUGGUCUGAGAGGAUGACCAGCCACACUGGAACUGAGACACGGUCCAG